AGCGGGGAUCUUUCAUUCUACUGGACUUCGAUUAGGAUCUUGAAUUCUGGUGCAUUUCUUCUCGCUUUUGCUUUAUGAUAUGGUGUUUGAUGUUUUGAUCAAUGUUCUUGUAUUGAUUGAUAUAAGAAUUCGUUGAUUCUUUGAUUAGAUUAGGGCAACUGGACUUGGAGUUCUUGGGUCGGAUCUUUCCACUGUUCUGGAUGAUUCUUGAUGAGUUUUUUGAGAUUUUUUCUCCAGAUUAUGAUGAAUGGGAGAUGUCCUUGUCUAGAAUCCUUGUCGAUGAAUCUUGGUAUAAAGUGCUGCUAGUGUUCUGCGAAGUGAUCAGAACUCAUGUGUCGCGGCUCGGGAUUUACUUUGUCGUUCUUUAUUUGAUUAUCGGAUUUCCUUUGAUGUUUUUAGAAAAAAUGUUCUUGAACUAAUAAUAAACUUUGGAGUGUGAACCCAUUCCUGAGCUGCUGGGUUUACCGGCUUUGUUGCGGUUGUGUAUGAUGUUUAUGCGGGGAUCUUGCAGAGCUGAUGUUUUUAUCUAAGUAGAUGAAAUAUAUGAGCUGAAGUUAGUGAACUAUUUCUUUCUGGAAUCUUGGAUUAUGACAACUCUUUGGUUAAUCGUCAACUGAUCUAUAUUGUCAGCUAGCGGAGAACCAAAGGUAGUUAUACUUGCAGUAAAGAUGAUCUGAUUAGUAAGUAGAAGCAGCUUGGUGUUACAGCACAAUUUAUUAAUGUAUUAAGUUAAUUGCUAUUUUAUUUAUAUAUGUUAGCCUCAGGGUUGAAUAGUUGAAAUUUAACUUGCUUUUCGAUGUAUGCUCAUAUCUAAGGAUGCUGACUCUGUGGCCUUGUGUAGUUGGAGGGGCAGAGAAUAGGAUAUCUAAGUGUAGUAACUACAAGAGUUAAAGAGGAUGUUUAGAAUUUUGUUGCUGAAUGCCAAGAGGCUCACUGGAGAAACUAUUGCUAUAAUUGUCAGAGAUAAUAAGAGGUUGGCUUCAGAAAAGAAGUACCAGUAAUAAGGUGCUAUGAUGCAGUUGAUUGCACAUCAAGUGCUGGGAUCUUUAUUUGU
rnacentral:lncRNA from 1 species